AUACCACCCUUUAAUGUUUGAUGUUCUAACGUGGGCCCCUAAUCGGGGUUGCGGACAGUGUCUGGUGGGUAGUUUGACUGGGGCGGUCUCCUCCCAAAGCGUAACGGAGGAGCACGAAGGUUAGCUAAUCCUGGUCGGACAUCAGGAGGUUAGUGCAAUGGCAUAAGCUAGCUUGACUGCGAGCGUGACGGCGCGAGCAGGUGCGAAAGCAGGUCAUAGUGAUCCGGUGGUUCUGAAUGGAAGGGCCAUCGCUCAACGGAUAAAAGGUACUCCGGGGAUAACAGGCUGAUACCGCCCAA
rnacentral:rRNA from 1 species